AGAGUUUGAUCCUGGCUCAGGAUUAACGCUGGCGGCGUGCCUUAUGCAUGCAAGUCGGACGGUUCUUUCGCAAGGAAGGGCAGUGGCGAACGGGUGAGUAACACCUAAGCGACCUGCCCUGAGGUGGGGGAUAACCCGCCGAAAGGCGGGCUAAUACCGCAUAAUGUGAUGGGAGUAAGGGCCUAUCACCAAAGCCUUCGGGCGCCACAGGAGGGGCUUGGGUCCUAUCAGGUAGUUGGUAGGGUAACGGCCUACCAAGCCGAAGACGGGUAGCUGGUCUGAGAGGACGUACAGCCACACGGGGACUGAGACACGGCCCCGACUCCUACGGGAGGCAGCAGCAAGGAAUUUUGCGCAAUGGGCGAAAGCCUGACGCGGCAACGCCGCGUGAGGGAUGAAGGCCUUCGGGUUGUAAACCUCUUUUUUCAGGGACGAUGAUGACGGUACCUGAGGAAUAAGUCUCGGCUAACUACGUGCCAGCAGCCGCGGUAAUACGUAGGAGGCGAGCGUUAUCCGGAUUUACUGGGCGUAAAGAGCGCGCGGGCGGCUCUUUAAGUCCGGAGUGAAAUCUCUCGGCUUAACCGGGAGGGGACUCUGGAUACUGGAGGGCUUGAGGGCAGCAGAGGGAGAUGGAAUUCCCGGUGUAGCGGUGAAAUGCGUAGAUACCGGGAGGAACACCAGUGGCGAAAGCGGUCUCCUAGGCUGUUCCUGACGCUGAGGCGCGAAAGCGUGGGGAGCAAACCGGAUCAGACACCCGGGUAGUCCACGCCCUAAACUUUGGACACUAGGUAUGGGGGGUAUCGACCCUCUCCGUGCCGAAGCUAACGCUCUAAGUGUCCCGCCUGGGGACUACGGCCGCAAGGCUAAAACUCAAAGGAAUUGACGGGGGCCCGCACAAGCAGCGGAGCGUGUGGUUCAAUUCGAUACUACGCGAAGAACCUUACCAAGGCUUGACAUGCUGGAAGUAGGAACCCGAAAGGGGGACGGCCUGUUAAGUCAGGAGCCAGCACAGAUGCUGCAUGGCUGUCGUCAGCUCGUGCCGUGAGGUGUUGGGUUGAGUCCCGCAACGAGCGCAACCCCCGUUGCCAGUUGAAUAAUCUGGCGAGACUGCCCCGCAAAACGGGGAGGAAGGUGGGGAUGACGUCAAGUCAGCACGGCUCUUACGCCUUGGGCUACACACACGCUACAAUGGGCGGUACAACGGGUUGCCAGGGAGCGAUCUCGAGCCAAUCCCUUAAAACCGCCCCCAGUUCGGAUUGCAGGCUGAAACCCGCCUGCAUGAAGCCGGAGUUGCUAGUAACCGCGGGUCAGCACACCGCGGUGAAUACGUUCUCGGGCCUUGUACACACCGCCCGUCACGUCAUGAAAGCCGGCAACACCUGAAGUCGAUGGGCUAACCCGCUUCGGCGGGGGGCAGUCGCCGAGGGUGGGGCCGGUAAUUGGGACGAAGUCGUAACAAGGUA
rnacentral:rRNA from 1 species